CAAUAGCGUAUAUUAAAGUUGUUGCAGUUAAAAAGCUCGUAGUUGGAUUUGUGGCGUACGGUGUGUUCCGGGCACUUGUUGUCUGAGUAACCUGCUGUUGCCAUCCUUGGGUGGAACCUGUGUGGCAUUAGGUUGUCGUGCAGGGGAUGCCCAUCAUUUACUGUGAAAAAAUUAGAGUGUUCAAAGCAGGCUUAUGCCGUUGAAUAUAUUAGCAUGGAAUAAUGAGAUAGGACUUUUUUGCUAUUUUGUUGGUUUGCGCAAGAAGGUAAUGAUUAAUAGGGACAGUUGGGGUUAUUCGUAUUCCAUUGUCAGAGGUGAAAUUCUUGGAUUUUUGGAAGACGAACUACUGCGAAAGCAUUUACCAAGGAUGUUUUCAUUAA
rnacentral:rRNA from 1 species